rnacentral:rRNA from 1 species
CACUCCUACGGGAGGCAGCAGUGGGGAAUAUUGGACAAUGGGCGAAAGCCUGAUCCAGCAAUGCCGCGUGAGUGAUGAAGGCCUUAGGGUUGUAAAGCUCUUUUACCCGGGAUGAUAAUGACAGUACCGGGAGAAUAAGCCCCGGCUAACUCCGUGCCAGCAGCCGCGGUAAUACGGAGGGGGCUAGCGUUGUUCGGAAUUACUGGGCGUAAAGCGCGCGUAGGCGGCUUUGUAAGUUAGAGGUGAAAGCCCGGAGCUCAACUUCGGAAUUGCCUUUAAGACUGCAUCGCUAGAAUCGUGGAGAGGUGAGUGGAAUUCCGAGUGUAGAGGUGAAAUUCGUAGAUAUUCGGAAGAACACCAGUGGCGAAGGCGACUCACUGGACACGUAUUGACGCUGAGGUGCGAAAGCGUGGGGAGCAAACAGGAUUAGAAACCCCUGUAGUCC